GGAACUUCACUUCUCUAAACAUCCUUCACCUCUCUGCUUAAAACUACCUGACAAAAACACUUUCUGCCUCUUCUGAAACACAAAGAUGGCUGCAGCUCUGACUCUCCUCCUCACUGGCUGUCUGCUGCAAGGUGCCCUGUGUGGACAGUUUGAGAUCAUUAUACCAAAUACUAUAGAGGUUCUGAAGGGAUCCUGUGUGACAAUCCCCUGCUCCUUUGACGUAGACGAUCAACAUAAUGUCAACUUAGAUAACACAUGUAAAGCAUUAUGGAAAGAAUCUGAUAGCAGACUUGUUGUGUUUGAUAGCAGUAAUCCACAACAGAGUACAAUCAAAGGACAAUUGAUCGGUGACCUAACAAAAAAAGACUGCACCACAACCCUGGAUGACAUGCAACCUCAAAACACCAAACUGUAUUAUUUUAGAUUGGAAUGUGACAUUCUGAAAUACUAUUUUCAUGACAUGAAAAUUUCAGUCGAAGGUAGGUUUUAAAUUAA